rnacentral:rRNA from 1 species
UACGGAGGAUGCGAGUGUUAUCCGGAUUUAUUGGGUUUAAAGGGUGCGUAGGCGGACUGUCAAGUCAGCGGUAAAAUACGGGGGCUCAACCUCCGCCCGCCGUUGAAACUGACGGUCUUGAGUGGGCGAGAAGUAUGCGGAAUGCGUGGUGUAGCGGUGAAAUGCAUAGAUAUCACGCAGAACUCCGAUUGCGAAGGCAGCAUACCGGCGCCCAACUGACGCUGAAGCACGAAAGCGUGGGUAUCGAACAGG